GUCUUUUUGAUUAUAAUUUGAAGUCUAACCUGCCCACUGAAUUUUUUGAAGGGCCGCGGUAUUUUGACUGUGCAAAGGUAGCAUAAUCAUUAGUCUUUUAAUUGGAGGCUUGUAUGAAUGGUUGGAUGAGGUAUUAACUGUCUCAAUUUAAUAAAUAAUAGAAUUUUAUUUUUAAGUUAAAAAGCUUAAAUUUAAUUAAAAGACGAGAAGACCCUAUAGAUCUUUAUAAUUUAUUGUAUAAUAAUUUUUUAGGUAAAAUUUAUUUUUAUAUAAUUAAUUAUUUUAUUGGGGUGAUAAAAAAAUUUAUAAAACUUUUUUUGUGUAUAAACAGUGAUAUUUGAUUAAUUGAUCCAUUUUUUGUGAUUAUAAGAUUAAGUUACCUUAGGGAUAACAGCGUAAUUUUUUUGGAGAGUUCUUAUCGAUAAAAAAGAUUGCGACCUCGAUGUUGAAUUAAAGGUUAAUUUUAGGUGUAGAAGUUUAAAAUUUUGGUCUGUUCGACCAUUAAAUC
rnacentral:rRNA from 1 species